CAUCAAAGUGCGACUCAUGCCGGAGGAGCUGCCGCACCCUAGAGCACCGCCGCCGGUAAGUUUCAGUUUUUUGUGAUUUUUUUGGCCCACCGAGGGUCCUAGGGUUGUUUUAUCGCAGGGACCGAUGCAAGUGUAGCCGAAUUCGGCCGAAAACGGCCAAUCCAAGGCGGAUCGCCCCUGCAAGCGGCGGCGCCGUCGCCGGAGCACGGCGGAGCCACCGUGCCAGAAUUUCAAUAUUAGCCGAAAGGGGCCCUAGGACUGAUUUGGAAUUUUUUGGGAUACGUGCAGGUACCGGUAGUGCGUUUCAGUUUUUCUGAAAAAGAUUCAGGAAAAUUAGGGACAGCCUGUAGGCGCACUGUAGAGUCGAAUUCAGACCCCGAAACAGGUAAGGACCUCUCACCCUAUUUCCUAUCGCGGUAUUAAAGCUAAAUAAAUAAUUAAACUGUACUGUGUGACUUUAUAGAUGUAUAAUUGAUUUAGGUUGCCAAUGGGACCCGAGUCUGAUACAGUGUUGGUCUGUUAUUGUUUGAUCUAAUUUCCAGUAUUAAAUGCAGUAUGAUAUUUGAUGUAUUUAUGUUAUGGUCUCGUAUGCAUGAAUCAGGUUUCUUUUAUUGUGAUUUGUAUUAUGGUGAACCUGAUACUGUGUUGUCUUAUUUGGUGUCAAUUACUGGUUUACAUGUUGUGUAUGAUUGGAUGAUUGAGAUCAAAGAAAAACGCAAAAAAGUUAUGUGAAUUGAUAGUGGAUAAUGUGGACAGCCUGACUAGAUAUCUUGGGAGAUGGUAGACGGACCGGGUCCGUAGGGAACCCUACCGGGAACGUGGUCUCUCAUACUGGACAGGGUAUGUAGACCUUAUGUGUUUUGGCGCCCAU
rnacentral:lncRNA from 1 species